UAAUUAAAUUUAUAGAUUGUAAAGCAAAUAAUUUAAGUCAAUCUCAUUUUGAGCAAAUAACACUAAACCAUCAAUAUAACAAAAUUAAUAGUGCCUCAAGGGGACACCAAACGGUGCGAACUCUUAUUUACGAACAGUGAGGUCCAGGGAUCAAACCUCACCGCUCCCCUCUCCCAAAGUAAAAAAAAAUAAAAAAAAUAAAAUAAUAGCCG
rnacentral:lncRNA from 1 species